CCCCACUUCCCCCAAAUUCAUUCUCUCUCUCUCUCUCUCUCUCUCUCUCUGUGUGUGUGUGUGUGUGUGAGAGAGAGAGAGAGAGAGAGAGAGAGAGAGAGAGUCUGUGUCAAGGAAG